GGGUAGUUAGCAAAAUGGAAACGCAGCGAGCUGUUAACUCGUCAUGACGCAGGUUCAAUCCCUGCACUGCCCGCCA
rnacentral:tRNA from 3 species